GAUGAACGCUGGCGGCGUGCCUAAUACAUGCAAGUCGAGCGAACAGACGAGGAGCUUGCUCCUCUGACGUUAGCGGCGGACGGGUGAGUAACACGUGGAUAACCUACCUAUAAGACUGGGAUAAAUUCGGGAAACCGGAGCUAAUACCGGAUAAUAUAUUGAACCGCAUGGUUCAAUAGUGAAAGACGGUUUUGCUGUCACUUAUAGAUGGAUCCGCGCCGCAUUAGCUAGUUGGUAAGGUAACGGCUUACCAAGGCGACGAUGCGUAGCAGACCUGAGAGGGUGAUCGGCCACACUGGAACUGAGACACGGUCCAGACUCCUACGGGAGGCAGCAGUAGGGAAUCUUCCGCAAUGGGCGAAAGCCUGACGGAGCAACGCCGCGUGAGGGAUGAAGGUCUUCGGAUCGUAAACCUCUGUUAUUAGGGAAGAACAAAUGUGUAAGUAACUAUGCACGUCUUGACGGUACCUAAUCAGAAAGCCACGGCUAACUACGUG
rnacentral:rRNA from 1 species